CAUGUGCAUGUUUUGUAGGUUAGGUAUUCAUACAGAGAAUGACUCUAUUCCUACUCAUAAUGCCAUAUUCCUAGAAGAAGUCCUGGAAUUUUGUACUACAUCUGUUCAUUCCAGAAUCCAUGAAAAAUCUGUCCCCAACAUACCCAGGACCAUACUAACCACUGACUUAGGAAGCAGCACAGGGCACAAUAGGUUGAUAUUCAUUUUGCAAUCGAGAAAAUCAAGGCAAAUACUGGUUCAUACCUAUUUUGUUAAACUCAUAGAAAAUACGAAGUAAAAUUCAGGAGCCCCCAAUCUUUACUUGUCAAAUAGAAAGCUGCCAAUGAAUAUUUGUGAGUGAGUGUAAGGAGACAAGAAAGUGUUUGCAUUACUGGAUUACACUGCCUCCCAAAGAGCAGCAUAAACACUGAGACUGGAAUGGCAAACAGCACGCUCUACUUACCAGAAUCGUUCUUGUGCUGUGAAAGGGACAUCAGAAUGGUUUUCUAAUAUCUUCACUCAGGAAAGAUCCUGUCUGCAAAGAGGCCCGUGACAGGUUUGCUAUUAGGUCGACGCCUCUCAUUAAACUCGCAUCUCCAGACACUCAGGGGAUGAAAGAGAAUCUCUCCAUGCUGACUGGCUGACACCUAAGAGUUUCCUCUGGCCACUUUCAAGGGCAACAUGAGGCCAGAGCAACAGAAGAAGCUGUUGGAAAGAGAAUUUAGGGGAAUCCAUACGCAAAAGAACAUUUGGAGAAUUGAAAUACAAAACCUGGUCUUCUGACCCUUUCAAAAGCUCCCUCAGCCCGCAGCUGUCAACACCCUGCAAGCACACGGAGAGCAAUUGCUGUUCCCAGGCCACAUGCAAACGCAGGCCCCCAAGGUCAGCCACAGAAUCUCACUUGCCUGGAAUCACAGCCUGGUGGGUGGGUGGAACCACCCGUUAGAAUCACAGUACUCUAGACUAUUUCACAUGUACUUUACCUGCAGAAUCUUUUCUUCAAAAGAAAGGCUAGUGACACUGUCUUAGUGAACCAGAUAGAAAUGGAGCUGUUUGGUGGGGGAGGCCUGAGAGCACUGCAUGGUCUGCCCAAACCCCCCUCACAGCGUCCUGGGGAGCACCAGCCUGGAACACAACUGGAAAGCCCCUGGAAAGGACCAGUAUCAGGUCCCUUAUUUGAGAUGAGAAAAUGGCUGUAUCAUUUGUGGCCUGCGUGUGUUGUGUCUGGUUCUCGUGGUUUGUUUUCCUGCUUUGAAAACGAAACUGUUCGUGGCUCAGAGAUGGAAAGCAGACCACAUUUUGUCAGCGAGGCCAUUCGUCAUGUCCCCCAGAGGGGGCUGUGAACUCCUGCAGCCUUGUGCUCUGCCAGCUCAAGGACCACCCAUGUUGCCGAGCUCAGAAGGCCACCAGGCAGAGCUGGGCAUGAGGCUCUGCUAUCCAGCUGGCCUGAGGCCUCUGCCAGCUCCCACCCACCCCUGGGGACGCAGGUCUGAAAUAAACCGGUGUGAGGGUCCUGGGAGACUAGAUUCUACCUGGCGGGCCAGGCCUCUCGCAGGGUGAAUCUGAGGUAGGCUCUGGGUAAACUUGCAAAAAUGUCCAGCGUGAACAGAGCUUCUCAGACCUGCUUCAGAGCACAACCUGGUGAGGAAAUCAUUUGCUCCAUUAAAAGUUGUUUGGCUAUGUUUGAGUUGAACUCGUUUUUUUCUGUUCUGCAGAAAGCUGGUUGUAAAAUGCUCUGACAUACAGCAAAGAACUUCUGUUAGCAAAUGUCUGCACCUGCUGGGUGGGGGAACCAAAGGAGACCUGCAGAGGCAUCAGUGCAAAAAGAAGUUCCUGAUGCAGCUGUCCCAGGCAGGCUGGCAUUUCUCAGCAACUCUGUCAGACUCACCUGGAAACUUACUAAAGAUGCCAUAGUGGUCUGCAGUGGCCCACCCAAACCUUUGGGGCUGGCAGCCUGGAAUCUGCAUUGAAAACAAGUG